rnacentral:lncRNA from 10 species
GGAUGGGGGUCCUAGAUACCUAGGAUUUGAUAUAAGCUCUCUCCAAAUUUUUACAUAUUGACAACUAACUCAAAAACUUACAAACACUGUGCUAAUCAAAUGAAACAUGCCUGUGAGCUGCAUUCAAUCCAUGGGGCAUUGGUUUGCAAGCUAUGUUCUUAGAGGUGGUAUGAUUUUGUAUUGAAAUUAAAUAUAACCAAGAGUAUGUCAAUUUUUGACCUUGGAACCUGGACCUUUUACCUCAUUUAUAUUCUGUAUUUUUGUAUGUGGGGCUUUUUGGCCAGUCAAAAUAGAAAGUCUACAGCUUCCAUUUUAUAAUCUAACAAGCAACAAGAAACAACAUUUGAAAAAGAAACAGGAAUAUAGCCAUUUUUUCUAGCACCAAUAAAAAUGGAAAUGUUUUUCAUUUGCUUUAAGUCAUUAAUCAGCUGAAAAAGAAUAGAAAGAGAAUUUCAUUCCAUAAAGAACUUCACCUAAAACUCUCAGUGAAGCAAAACAAAACUCCAUGUAACUCACUCUUAGCUUUAAAUCUUUAAAAAGUGUUUCGAAGGGAUAUUGAGUAAAAAUGCAGUUAUCUAUUAAAAAUACAAAAUGCUAUAUUAUAUGAUGCUAUGAAUUGAUACUGGAGCUGAUAAAACAUUAAAGUAAUUAUUCCAAAUCAGUGCUGACUGCAAAAGCAAUAUUUCCAAAGCUCUAGCUUAUUUUCUGCGGUCUUUUAAUUCCCUUGAAAUAGCUUUCUUCAAGUUGAGCAGCAAUUUGGGACAAACAUUAUUCUAUUGCACAGAUUAUGGCAUCUUACUCUGGUUUACACACACAGAGCAAGGGCUUACACACCUGAAUUAAGAAUUAACUAGCAUGUGGGGACAGCAAUAGGGAUAGUCCUACCACAGACGAAACCAUGCGCUCUACACGUCCCUGGAUAAAAUGUGACAAGUUAGCCCUUGAAUUUGGGUCCCCAUGUCACCAAAUAGCUCUAUAUUUAAGUUGUGUUAAUGUGGUACGUUUCAGUGGCAUAAUGACCCAUUCUUAUCGAGGCCUUUGUUCCAUAUUUUAUUUGUGCCAAUCUUUCUUAGGUUAUGAGCCCUAAUAGUUUAUGGCAGCAGACAAGAGACUCAUUUCUAACCCAUUAAAUUCAAAUGGACUUUCUUCCACUGUCCAUUUCAUUUUUGGAGCUGUUAUAAACUACCGAAAACAUUUGACAGGAUCCCAUUGUGGAUCUGAUACACUUAAACAGUAAAAUGAUAUCUAAACAUCUGAAAGCCAAAGAAUAACCUAGUGCACGUGUUCAUUCAUUUGUAGAAUUUAAGCCAUUGUAUUAUAUUUUCCACUUGGAACCAUGCCUUUAGAUACAAAAGUGUAAAGUAAAAAGCAACAUUAUCAUGGGAUGUGAGACGGUAAUCCAAAAGUUGAAGACCAAUUUUUGUUAUCCAUAUUUUGGAAGUAUGGAUACUGUUUAUUUUAAUAUCACUUCUCUCAUGGGUCACUUUUCCUUAGAUAGGUAGGUAGGUAGAUAGAUAGAUAGAUAGAUGAUAGAUAGAUAGAUAGAUAGAUAGAUAGAUAGAUAGAUAG